AAAAAAAAAAAAAAAAAAUCACAUUUGAUUUCUCAAUUCUUGUUUCAGACCAAUCAAUCAUGUCUUGCUGUGGAGGAAACUGUGGCUGUGGAUCUAGCUGCAAGUGCGGCAACGGCUGUGGAGGUUGCAAGAUGUACCCAGACAUGAGCUACACCGAAAGCAGCACAACCACUGAGACUUUGGUGCUUGGGGUGGGACCUGAGAAGACAAGCUUCGGCGCCAUGGAGAUGGGUGAAUCCCCUGUUGCUGAGAAUGGCUGCAAAUGUGGAUCUGACUGCAAGUGCAACCCUUGCACUUGUUCUAAGUGAACGAAAAUAUAGUUGAAACAGAGCAGAGAUCAUGGUGUUAGCCUUCUAUGGCUGAAGAAAAAUAGUUGAAAAAAUGUGUGUGUCUAGUGUUUUAGUGUGUCUGUCUGUUGAAAACGGGGAAAAAAAUGUGUUCUUUUUUCCCUGUAAUAAGAAAUAUAGUAAUGGAGUCUUUAUGUGUAAGUAACCAGUAAAAUGGUUUGUGUAAACAUGAAUAUCUCUGCAUCUGUUAAUUUUAACAUAUAAGUUUGGAUAUGUGUUAUGGUUUCAACUAAUUCAAGUACUUCCUUGAUAAUGUUUUCCUGUUUCUAGGCUGCAAAACUAUAGUAAAUCUUUUAGGUUUUGGUAAAACCUAAUUCCAUUGGGUGUAGUUGGAGAGCAUAUAGUGUUUGCGAAUAUGUAAAUUUCAUUCGAAUAUGUAAAUUUCUAUCGGGGAAAAGGGAAGAUCCGCUUGAUAG
rnacentral:misc_RNA from 1 species